rnacentral:rRNA from 1 species
AUGAACGCUGGCGGCGUGCCUAAUACAUGCAAGUCGAGCGAACAGACGAGGAGCUUGCUCCUCUGACGUUAGCGGCGGACGGGUGAGUAACACGUGGAUAACCUACCUAUAAGACUGGGAUAACUUCGGGAAACCGGAGCUAAUACCGGAUAAUAUAUUGGACCGCAUGGUUCAAUAGUGAAAGACGGUUUUGCUGUCACUUAUAGAUGGAUCCGCGCCGCAUUAGCUAGUUGGUAAGGUAACGGCUUACCAAGGCAACGAUGCGUAGCCGACCUGAGAGGGUGAUCGGCCACACUGGAACUGAGACACGGUCCAGACUCCUACGGGAGGCAGCAGUAGGGAAUCUUCCGCAAUGGGCGAAAGCUUGACGGAGCAACGCCGCGUGAGUGAUGAAGGUCUUCGGAUCGUAAAACUCUGUUAUUAGGGAAGAACAAAUGUGUAAGUAACUAUGCACGUCUUGACGGUACCUAAUCAGAAAGCCACGGCUAACUACGUG